GCAUAUCAAUAAGCGGAGGAAAAGAAACCAACAGGGAUUGCCUUAGUAGCGGCGAGUGAAGCGGCAAGAGCUCAAAUUUGAAAUCUGGUACCUUCGGUGCCCGAGUUGUAAUUUGAAGAAAGCUAUCUUGGAGGUGGCCUUUGUCUAUGUUCCUUGGAACAGGACGUCAUGGAGGGUGAGAAUCCCGUGUGAUGAGGUGUCCAUUUCCGUGUAAGAUGCUUUCGAAGAGUCGAGUUGUUUGGGAAUGCAGCUCAAAGUGGGUGGUAAAUUCCAUCUAAAGCUAAAUAUUGGCGAGAGACCGAUAGCGAACAAGUACUGUGAAGGAAAGAUGAAAAGAACUUUGAAAAGAGAGUGAAAAAGUACGUGAAAUUGUUGAAAGGGAAGGGUAUUUGAUCAGACUUGGUAUUUAGCUAUCAUCGCUCCUUGUGGGUGGUGCUCUAGCUUUUUACUGGGCCAGCAUCAGUUUUGGUGGCAAGAUAAUGACAGUUGAAUGUGGCUCCUCGGAGUGUUAUAGCUUCUGUUGAUGUUGCCUACCGAGACUGAGGUCUGCGGCUUUUGCCUAGGAUGCUGGCGUAAUGAUCCAAUACCGCCCGUCUUGAAACACGGACC
rnacentral:rRNA from 1 species